UACGUAGGGUGCGAGCGUUGUCCGGAAUUAUUGGGCGUAAAGAGCUCGUAGGCGGUGUGUCGCGUCGGCCGUGAAAACCUGCAGCUUAACUGUGGGCUUGCGGUCGAUACGGGCAUCACUGGAGUUCGGCAGGGAGACUGGAAUUCCUGGUGUAGCGGUGAAAUGCGCAGAUAUCAGGAGGAACACCGGUGGCGAAGGCGGGUCUCUGGGCCGAUACUGACGCUGGAGGCAACGGAAAGCGUGGGAGCAAAC
rnacentral:rRNA from 1 species